UAAUAAGUGUUUUAUGGCACUUUUUAAAUCCAUAUCCACCUUGUGUGCAAUGUCGGUCGAUCUUCUUCAUGGAGAUCGACCAAACAUCAACCUUUAUCUUUUAACUCUUUGUCUGAGAAAUAUUAUGAAUAAACAAUUCAAAAUA
rnacentral:misc_RNA from 1 species